rnacentral:misc_RNA from 1 species
GUGAAUCAUCGAAUUUUUGAACGCAAAUUGCACUCUCUGGUAUUCCGGAGAGUAUGCCCGUUUGAGGGUCAGUUUAAAUAAAAAUCGGUGUGGUUGCUGCCUCUCGUGGUGACGCACCGGAUGUGGGUCGUCUUGCCUUCGGUUAAGUGACCUGAAAUUUUGCAUGAAUUUUUCGCACGUAUUUAAAUUAUUUUACUUACGUUUGCGAUCUCCAAUACUAGGUGCUGUCAUCCUCA